rnacentral:lncRNA from 1 species
UGGAAGAUCAGGCCCUUGGCCGUGGGGAAGAGCUGGGAGGAAGGAGAAGCGGCAGGAGGGCUGGGGCCAGAGAUGCUGCGGGCAGCAAGAGAGCAGGGGAUGCUGGCUCAGGCCCAGGUUGUUCUCCAGUCUCACUCCGUCCAGCCCUGCCUUGUGGGAAGAAGCUUCUGGUUUCAGUGGCCUGAUAAACUCGUCCGCAGGUGAGCUUUGAUAGCUGAUCAUGGCUUGGCCACGCCCUCCCCAAGUGUGGUCCCCAGACCCACAGCAUCAUUAUCACCUGGAAACUUAUUAGAACGGCCACCCACCCCAGACCUACGAGAUCAGCAAUCCGUUUCUUAAGAAGCCCUGCCUACUCACCUUAGAGAACCGCUGACUUAGAGUGUG